GCUGGCGGCAGGCCUAACACAUGCAAGUCGAACGGAGUUAUAUUGUAGCUUGCUAUGGUAUAACUUAGUGGCAGACGGGUGAGUAAUGUAUAGGAAUCUACCUAGUAGUACGGAAUAAUUGUUGGAAACGGCAACUAAUACCGUAUACGCCCUACGGGGGAAAAAUUUAUUGCUAUUAGAUGAGCCUAUAUUAGAUUAGCUAGUUGGUGGAGUAAUAGCCUACCAAGGCAAUGAUCUAUAGCUGAUCUGAGAGGAUGAUCAGCCACACUGGAACUGAGAUACGGUCCAGACUCCUACGGGAGGCAGCAGUGGGGAAUAUUGGACAAUGGGCGAAAGCCUGAUCCAGCCAUGCCGCAUGAGUGAAGAAGGCCUUUGGGUUGUAAAGCUCUUUUAGUGAGGAAGAUAAUGACGGUACUCACAGAAGAAGUCCUGGCUAACUCCGUGCCAGCAGCCGCGGUAAUACGGAGAGGGCUAGCGUUAUUCGGAAUUAUUGGGCGUAAAGGGCGCGUAGGCGGAUUAGUAAGUUAAAAGUGAAAUCCCAAGGCUCAACCUUGGAAUUGCUUUUAAAACUGCUAAUCUAGAGAUUGAAAGAGGAUAGAGGAAUUCCUAGUGUAGAGGUGAAAUUCGUAAAUAUUAGGAGGAACACCAGUGGCGAAGGCGUCUAUCUGGUUCAAAUCUGACGCUGAGGCGCGAAGGCGUGGGGAGCAAACAGGAUUAGAUACCCUGGUAGUCCACGCUGUAAACGAUGAAUGUUAAAUAUGGGAAGUUUUA
rnacentral:rRNA from 1 species